rnacentral:rRNA from 1 species
UACGUAGGGAGCAAGCGUUGUCCGGAAUCAUUGGGCGUAAAGAGCGUGUAGGCGGCCAUACAGGUCCGUUGUGAAAACUGGAGGCUUAACCUCCAGACGUCGAUGGAAACCGUAUGGCUAGAGUCCGGAAGAGGAGAGUGGAAUUCCUGGUGUAGCGGUGAAAUGCGCAGAUAUCAGGAAGAACACCCGUGGCGAAGGCGGCUCUCUGGUACGUGACUGACGCUGAGACGCGAAAGCGUGGGGAGCAAACAGG